rnacentral:tRNA from 1 species
AAGAUUUAAAGAUUGGUUUUGAUCUGCUAAAUCAAAAGCCCUGUGGUUUAACUCCAUAGAAAUCUUG